GCGCACGUAGUGUAGUGGACAUGACGUUCGUUUGACAGUUGAGCUCUAACGAUGUGAUUGUGGGUUCGAAUCCCACCGUGCACA